AGUGAACGCUGGCGGUAGGCCUAACACAUGCAAGUCGAACGGCAGCACAGUAAGAGCUUGCUCUUACGGGUGGCGAGUGGCGGACGGGUGAGUAAUACAUCUGAAUCUACUUUUUCGUGGGGGAUAAAGUAGGGGAACUUACGCUAAUACCUCAUACGACCUACGGGUGAAAGCAUAGGAUCUUCGGACGUUGUGUGAUUGAAUGAUCCGAUGUCGGAUUAUCUAGUUGGCGGUGUAAAGGCCCACCAAGGCGACGAUCCGUAGCUGGUCUGAGAGGAUGAUCAGCCACACUGGAACUGAGACACGGUCCAGACUCCUACGGGAGGCAGCAGUGGGGAAUAUUGGACAAUGGGCGCAAGCCUGAUCCAGCCAUACCGCGUGGGUGAAGAAGGCCUUCGGGUUGUAAAGCACUUUUGUUGGGAAAGAAAAGCAGCAGGUUAAUACCCCGCUGUUCUGACGGUACCCAAAGAAUAAGCACCGGCUAACUUCGUG
rnacentral:rRNA from 1 species